rnacentral:rRNA from 1 species
AAGACCUUGCGCUUUUGGAGCGGCCGAUGCCUGAUUAGCUUGUUGGUAAGGUAAAAGCUUACCAAGGCUUCGAUCAGUAGCUGGUCUGAGAGGACGACCAGCCACACUGGGACUGAGACACGGCCCAGACUCCUACGGGAGGCAGCAGUGGGGAAUUUUGGACAAUGGGGGCAACCCUGAUCCAGCCAUGCCGCGUGAGUGAAGAAGGCCUUCGGGUUGUAAAGCUCUUUCAGCCGGAACGAAACGGUUACGGUUAAUACCCGUGAUUACUGACGGUACCGGAAGAAGAAGCACCGGCUAACUACGUGCCAGCAGCCGCGGUAAUACGUAGGGUGCGAGCGUUAAUCGGAAUUACUGGGCGUAAAGGGUGCGCAGGCGGUUUUGUAAGUCAGAUGUGAAAGCCCCGGGCUCAACCUGGGAACU